rnacentral:rRNA from 1 species
UACAGAGGUCCCAAGCGUUGUUCGGAUUUACUGGGCGUAAAGGGUGCGUAGGUGGCGAGGUAAGUUUGAUGUGAAAUCUCCGAGCUCAACUCGGAAAUGGCAUUGAAUACUAUCCCGCUUGAGGGUCGGAGGGGAGACUGGAAUUCUCGGUGUAGCAGUGAAUGACGUAGAUAUCGAGAGGAACACCAGUGGCGAAGGCGAGUCUCUGGACGACUCCUGACACUGAGGCACGGAAAGCUGGGGGAGCAAACAGG